GAAUUUUACUAGAUCCUUUUAUAAAGUGAUAACUGAGUUGAUUGAUCGUGUGAGUAGUGGUGCAUGGCCGAUGUGUGUUGGUGGGUUGACUUGUAUGGUUAAUUUCAUGAACGAACGAGACCCUUACUUACUAUUUGAUAAGUUAGUUUAUGUUUAUUUGAAAUUGUUGUACUUUUGCUAAUUAUGCAGUGGAAGUGUGAGGGUGAUAU
rnacentral:rRNA from 1 species